rnacentral:rRNA from 1 species
UACGUAGGGACCGAGCGUUGUCCGGAUUUAUUGGGCGUAAAGAGCGUGUAGGCGGUCAGGUAGGUCCGUUGUGAAAACUCGAGGCUCAACCUCGAGACGCCGAUGGAAACCAUCUGACUAGAGUCCGGAAGAGGAGAGUGGAAUUCCUGGUGUAGCGGUGAAAUGCGCAGAUAUCAGGAAGAACACCCGUGGCUAAGGCGGCUCUCUAGUACGGUACUGACGCUGAAGACGCGAAAGCCGUGGGGAGCAAACAGG